rnacentral:tRNA from 1 species
CCGUCCCGAUGGCUCAGUUGGCGAGCGGUGGACUGUAGAUCCAUAGGUCGCUGGUUCGAAUCCGGCUCGACGGA